GCGGCUAUGGCGGAAUUGGUAGACGCGCUAGAUUCAGGUUCUAGUCGAGGUUACUCGGUGGAAGUUCAAAUCUUCUUAGCCGCA
rnacentral:tRNA from 1 species